rnacentral:snoRNA from 1 species
UUAUAUGAUGAGUUCUCAAUACACAAUAUAUGCUAGAUAGUAUAUGAAAGUUUAAAACUUAAUGGUUAUAAGUGUUUUGACAGUGAUUUUACUCCUGAUU